rnacentral:rRNA from 1 species
GGGUUGUGAGGUUAAGCGACUAAGCGUACACGGUGGAUGCCCUGGCAGUCAGAGGCGAUGAAGGGCGUGCUAAUCUGCGAUAAGCGCCGGUAAGGUGAUAUGAACCGUUAUAACCGGCGAUACCCGAAUGGGGAAACCCAGUGUGAUUCGUCACACUAUCAUUAACUGAAUCCAUAGGUUAAUGAGGCGAACCGGGGGAACUGAAACAUCUAAGUACCCCGAGGAAAAGAAAUCAACCGAGAUUCCCCCAGUAGCGGCGAGCGAACGGGGAGGAGCCCAGAGCCUGAAUCAGCAUGUGUGUUAGUGGAAGCGUCUGGAAAGGCGCGCGAUACAGGGUGACAGCCCCGUACACAAAAGCGCAUGUGCUGUGAGCUCGAUGAGUAGGGCGGGACACGUGGUAUCCUGUCUGAAUAUGGGGGGACCAUCCUCCAAGGCUAAAUACUCCUGACUGACCGAUAGUGAACCAGUACCGUGAGGGAAAGGCGAAAAGAACCCCGGCGAGGGGAGUGAAAAAGAACCUGAAACCGUGUACGUACAAGCAGUGGGAGCNNNNNNNNNNNNNNNNNNNGGGCGUUAAGUUGCAGGGUAUAGACCCGAAACCCGGUGAUCUAGCCAUGGGCAGGUUGAAGGUUGGGUAACACUAACUGGAGGACCGAACCGACUAAUGUUGAAAAAUUAGCGGAUGACCUGUGGCUGGGGGUGAAAGGCCAAUCAAACCGGGAGAUAGCUGGUUCUCCCCGAAAGCUAUUUAGGUAGCGCCUCGUGAAUUCAUCUCCGGGGGUAGAGCACUGUUUCGGCUAGGGGGCCAUCCCGGCUUACCAACCCGAUGCAAACUGCGAAUACCGGAGAAUGUUAUCACGGGAGACACACGGCGGGUGCUAACGUCCGUCGUGAAGAGGGAAACAACCCAGACCGCCAGCUAAGGUCCCAAAGUCAUGGUUAAGUGGGAAACGAUGUGGGAAGGCCCAGACAGCCAGGAUGUUGGCUUAGAAGCAGCCAUCAUUUAAAGAAAGCGUAAUAGCUCACUGGUCGAGUCGGCCUGCGCGGAAGAUGUAACGGGGCUAAACCAUGCACCGAAGCUGCGGCAGCGACACUGUGUGUUGUUGGGUAGGGGAGCGUUCUGUAAGCCUGCGAAGGUGGCCUGUGAGGGUUGCUGGAGGUAUCAGAAGUGCGAAUGCUGACAUAAGUAACGAUAAAGCGGGUGAAAAGCCCGCUCGCCGGAAGACCAAGGGUUCCUGUCCAACGUUAAUCGGGGCAGGGUGAGUCGACCCCUAAGGCGAGGCCGAAAGGCGUAGUCGAUGGGAAACGGGUUAAUAUUCCCGUACUUGGUGUUACUGCGAAGGGGGGACGGAGAAGGCUAUGUUGGCCGGGCGACGGUUGUCCCGGUUUAAGCGUGUAGGUGUGUGUUCCAGGUAAAUCCGGUUCACUUUAACACUGAGGCGUGACGACGAGGCACUACGGUGCUGAAGCAACAAAUGCCCUGCUUCCAGGAAAAGCCUCUAAGCAUCAGGUAACAUCAAAUCGUACCCCAAACCGACACAGGUGGUCAGGUAGAGAAUACCAAGGCGCUUGAGAGAACUCGGGUGAAGGAACUAGGCAAAAUGGUGCCGUAACUUCGGGAGAAGGCACGCUGACACGUAGGUGAAGUGAUUUACUCAUGGAGCUGAAGUCAGUCGAAGAUACCAGCUGGCUGCAACUGUUUAUUAAAAACACAGCACUGUGCAAACACGAAAGUGGACGUAUACGGUGUGACGCCUGCCCGGUGCCGGAAGGUUAAUUGAUGGGGUCAGCGCAAGCGAAGCUCCUGAUCGAAGCCCCGGUAAACGGCGGCCGUAACUAUAACGGUCCUAAGGUAGCGAAAUUCCUUGUCGGGUAAGUUCCGACCUGCACGAAUGGCGUAAUGAUGGCCAGGCUGUCUCCACCCGAGACUCAGUGAAAUUGAACUCGCUGUGAAGAUGCAGUGUACCCGCGGCAAGACGGAAAGACCCCGUGAACCUUUACUAUAGCUUGACACUGAACAUUGAGCCUUGAUGUGUAGGAUAGGUGGGAGGCUUUGAAGUGUGGACGCCAGUCUGCAUGGAGCCGACCUUGAAAUACCACCCUUUAAUGUUUGAUGUUCUAACGUGGACCCGUUACCCGGGUUGCGGACAGUGUCUGGUGGGUAGUUUGACUGGGGCGGUCUCCUCCUAAAGAGUAACGGAGGAGCACGAAGGUUGGCUAAUCCUGGUCGGACAUCAGGAGGUUAGUGCAAUGGCAUAAGCCAGCUUGACUGCGAGCGUGACGGCGCGAGCAGGUGCGAAAGCAGGUCAUAGUGAUCCGGUGGUUCUGAAUGGAAGGGCCAUCGCUCAACGGAUAAAAGGUACUCCGGGGAUAACAGGCUGAUACCGCCCAAGAGUUCAUAUCGACGGCGGUGUUUGGCACCUCGAUGUCGGCUCAUCACAUCCUGGGGCUGAAGUAGGUCCCAAGGGUAUGGCUGUUCGCCAUUUAAAGUGGUACGCGAGCUGGGUUUAGAACGUCGUGAGACAGUUCGGUCCCUAUCUGCCGUGGGCGCUGGAGAACUGAGGGGGGCUGCUCCUAGUACGAGAGGACCGGAGUGGACGCAUCACUGGUGUUCGGGUUGUCAUGCCAAUGGCACUGCCCGGUAGCUAAAUGCGGAAGAGAUAAGUGCUGAAAGCAUCUAAGCACGAAACUUGCCCCGAGAUGAGUUCUCCCUGAGACUUAGAGUCUCCUGAAGGAACGUUGAAGACGACGACGUUGAUAGGCCGGGUGUGUAAGCGCAGCGAUGCGUUGAGCUAACCGGUACUAAUGAACCGUGAGGCUUAACCUUACAACGCCGAAG